rnacentral:rRNA from 1 species
UACCCGCAGCACAAGUGGUGGUCAUUAUUAUUGGGCCUAAAGCGUCCGUAGCAGGCUUGUUAGAUGCCUGGGUAAAUCGAUGCGCUCAACGCAUCGACUUCCGGGUAGACCGGCAAGCUCGAGACCGGGAGAGGCGUGGGCUACUCGAGGGGUAGGGGUAAAAUCCUGUAAUCCUUCGGGGAGGACCAGUGGCGAAGGCGCCACGCUAGAACGGCUCUGACUGUGAGGGACGAAGCCCUGGGGCGCAAC